AGAUUCACAACCACCGAUUGAAGAUUCAGCACCACCGAUUGAAGAUUCACAUUCACAGAAGUUAUUCUCGCCGUUCUUCUGAUGGAUUUAUUUGGUGAUGGUUCAAUUCAGAAGCUUGAUGUUCAGAAGCACUUGAAGAAUUUGAACAGGCCACCGGUUAAGUCCAUCAAGGUAGUGCCACUCUUUUUCUUAGCUUUUUGUUUCCUUUUUACUCUGUUACUUUUUCAUUGAUUACAUAAUGGUUUUUUUCUCUUUUCUAAUUGGGAUUUGUAAUAAAUAAAACUUUGUUGGGUUUUAAAGGAACUUUAAUCCUUGGGAGUUAGGAGGUUUUUUUAGUCUUUUUUACUAGAAUAAUGAACAACCUCAGCUAUUGUUCUCAAUUUAGAGCAGGAUCUUAGUGGAAGAUUCCUUAUUCAAUCUGUCAGAAAUUGUCCUUGGGAGAGAGGGUGAAGUCCUGUGUUAUUAAUUUUGCAGUUCUGUCAAAGGCCAAAGGAUGAGUCAAUGUAGUUACAACCAAUUGUGAAGGAACCAUUCACCUCCGUCGAACCUUCUCCGGCAGCAGCAAUGGCGACUCGUGAUGGCGGUAUCAAGUCUUCAUCAAUUAAUGGUGUAAAAAUGUACACAAUAGCUUCACAGCAAUCCUCACUUGCUUCAUGGGUUCCAACUAAACAGCAAUCUCACCACCCUGUCAAAAGUACUUCUCUUCACCUUUUUCAAUUCUGUUGCACUUUUCCUUUUCCUUUUCCCUAAUUCACUGUUUGUUUUAUUUUCGUUUUCCAUUAGGUUGUACUCAAAACGUGCAGCUUAUUGAAGACUUGAGGUUCACUACUGCAACAACAUAGAUUAAAGCAACUCUU